rnacentral:rRNA from 1 species
UGAACGCCGGUGAAGGAACUCUGCAAAUUGGCCCCGUAACUUCGGGAGAAGGGGUGCCCACUUCGGUGGGUCUCAGCAAAGCGGCUCUAGCGACUGUUUACUAAAAACACAGGUCUCUGCCAACUCGUAAGAGGAUGUAUAGAGACUGACGCUUGCUCGGUGCCGGUAGGUUAAGGAAGAGGGUCAAGUCCGCAAGGGCUGAAGCUCGCAACCGAAGCCCCGGUAAACGGCGGCCGUAACUAUACGGUCCUAAGGUAGCGAAAUUCCUUGUCGGGUAAGUUCCGACCUGCAUGAAUAGCGUAACGACUGGAGCACUGUCUCCACCGGCGACUCGGUGAAAUUGCAGUAGUGGUGAGGAUACCACUUUCCCGCAGCUAGACGGAAAGACCCCAUGAACCUUGACUGCAGGCUGAUAUUGUCUCUAGAUAGUUCUUGUGUAGGAUAGGUGGGAGGCGUUGAGGCGGAUGCGCUAGCAUUCGCAGAGCCAUCGUUGAAAUACCACCCUGGGCCUAUUUGGAGUCUAACCCCGACCCGUGAAUCCGGGCGGGGAACAGUGUCAGUUGGGCAGCUUGACUGGGGCGGUCUCCUCCCAAAGUGUAACGGAGGAGCUCAAAGGUACCCUCAGCCUGGUUGGCAAUCAGGCGUAGAGCGUAAAGGUAGAAGGGUGCUUGACUGCGAGACACAUACGUCGAGCAGAAACGAAAGUUGGACUUAGUGAUCCGGCGGUUCCGAAUGGAAGGGCCGUCGCUCAACAGAUAAAAGGUACUCUGGGGAUAACAGGCUGAUCACGCCCGAGCGUCCAUAGCGGCGGCGUGGUUUGGCACCUCGAUGUCGGCUCAUCGCAUCCUGGGGGUGGAGAAGCUCCCAAGGGUUCGGCUGUUCGCCGAUUAAAGCGGUACGUGAGCUGGGUUUAAACCGUCGUGAGACAGGUUGGUCCCUAUCUGCUGUGGGCGUACGAAACUUGAGGGAGUUUCUCUUUAGUACGAGAGGAUUUGGAGGGACGAACCUCUGGUGUUCCUGUUGUCACGCUCGUGGCAGCGCAGGGUAGCUAUGUUCGGUCGGGAUAAGCGCUGAAAGCAUAUAAGCGCGAAGCCUUUCCCAAGAUCAGGUUUCGUUAGACGCAAGUCUUGAAGUCCCCUGGUAGACCACCAGGUCGAUAGGCCGGCGAUGUAAGGCGGGCAACCGUCUCAGUCGACCGGUACUAACGGACAAAAGCUUGACCAC